GCUCAAUUAAACCCCAAAUACCUGCAAUCAAUAAAUAAGGAAUGACAACGCGUUUAAGGGAUUUACCCAGCAAAGAAACUGAACUGGAAACAGAUUACACCCAAGAAACCCUUUUUAUAAUUAAACAUACACCUCUCACCAAUGGAAGAGGCAUGUAAAGGAGAAGCCUUGGAAAAUCAAGAUACACGUGUUUCUCUGGGAGAACUUUUCAACAACUAGAAUUAUAUUUGUAUUAUGACAGAGCCUAGAAGCAGCAGCAAUUCAGAGAUACCUGACCAAAUCUAUGGGAAGCCUGAAAUGAUAGCUCUGAGAGAGGUGUGGCCUGUUCUUACUCACGAUAUGAAAUGCUAACUCUGAAGCCCAAUGGUGCACUUUAUAUGUCAAGCUGUUAACCAUUUCAGUGCUCAUCAAAAUGCACAAAGCAAAAGAUAAUCAUACUUGAAGGUCUAAACAAUCUAUGGGUUCUAGAAGCAGAAAUCCCAAAGCACAAUGCAGAAGGCGUGUUCUCAUUGUCUUUCCAGCCCCAUCCUGAAACCCAUCAAACUGGUAAUUUCAAGAAGAAACCUGUUUCGGCAAGUUGACUAGAUGAAUUUUACAUCCCAAAUGGGUCAUAUAAGCCUUGGAGAAGCAUCAAAACAUCUAUCAGAUGGAACUUGUGAGCUUAGUUGAAGUCUGCUGUUGUCACUACAUUAGCCUUUUCCAAAAUGAAACCACAUGCUGCUCCACGCUUCAUCGAACCACGCUCCAGUUGUGAGAAGGGUGGGUUUUCCCCACACAGUGGAAAUGGACACCUGAUCAGUCAUCAGUGCAAAGGCAAAAUACGUCAGCCCUUUGGCACAUUCAUCAUUAAGGGCCACUAAAGCCUGGAUAUACUGAAUGGAAUGAGGGAAAAAACAACAAAAAAAGAUGGCACCGCCGUAGUAUUUCACUGUGGUGAAAUGCCAACAAAUAGCUGGCACUUAGAGCUCUAUUCUGCGAGGUGCUGAGUGUCCUCAAUUCCUAUUGGUUGAGGAUGUUCAGCACCUGGCAAGAGUGCACAGCACUCUCCAAGAAUAAUCAUUUAAUAACUAAUUAUGGUCCAAACGUCGUUGGAUCUUUGAAUAGUCUCAUACAUCUCUGCCGAUGUGCCAAUGACAGCCUUGGAGAGCCAUCUAUAAAUGAAUAAGUCAUCUACUCGUCUCAUUAUAUGCAGUAUAUGUAUGUCCAACAUAACAUUUAAAUACCCAGGAGUAAAAUGGCUUGCACAUUAAAUCAAAGCUGUUAUUUAAAAUGUCAGUUCUGUAAAUCAGCGUCCAUUUGUUUCCAUCCAGAAAAUACACCCCCUGGGAAUGUUGUUGUUUAAGUCUAUCAUUAUUUUGUCUUUUCACUGGCAGGUAGAAAAUAAGAAAACAUGUUAAUGUCAUUUUAGUAAAAGCAAAAG